UACGGAGGGUGCAAGCGUUAUCCGGAUUCACUGGGUUUAAAGGGUGCGUAGGCGGGUUGGUAAGUCCGUGGUGAAAUCCCCAAGCUUAACUUGGGAACUGCCGCGGAUACUAUCAAUCUUGAAUAUCGUGGAGGUAAGCGGAAUAUGUCAUGUAGCGGUGAAAUGCUUAGAUAUGACAUAGAACACCAAUUGCGUAGGCAGCUUACUACACGAUCAUUGACGCUGAGGCACGAAAGCGUGGGGAGCAAACAGG
rnacentral:rRNA from 1 species